CUGGGGAACUUGGACAAUGGGCGCAAGCCUGAUCCAGCCAUGCCGCGUGAGUGAUGAAGGCCUUAGGGUCGUAAAGCUCUUUCGCCAGAGAUGAUAAUGACAGUAUCUGGUAAAGAAACCCCGGCUAACUCCGUGCCAGCAGCCGCGGUAAUA
rnacentral:rRNA from 1 species